AGCAGGAGUUGAGCACAGUGUUAAUUCUCCGGCUCCGUCUUCCCCCGCCCCUUUCUGUGGUGCUUCAUUUCCCGCCAAUCCCUUUCCCUUGUUACUUUACUACUAAAAAUGCAACCGGCAGUUUUUCAUCACGACUGUUACCCGAACACGCAGCCACACUUGUGAAAUAACCAAAACGUACAGUGAUACCUGUUAGCUUGUUUUAUAACAAGCACAACCCAAUACCCAGUACUGAAGAAGUACAGGAAUGAAAUCGGGCUCUUUCAUUUUCUUCGCCGUGGCAUCACCGUAAACUACUAAACUGCUGGCCAUUCAUUCUGAUAUUCUGAAUUCAAAAAUCAUCUAAAAUUUGCUGCGUGCUGCUGGGUGCCCAGUAAUGGACUAGGCCCUGGAGACAUAGGCCCUGCCCUUAAAGGAUUUUGUAGUGUAGUCGGGCGUCAUCUUGCCUCUGGUUUGAGCCUUCAUCCUAAGGAACUCAAACAUAGAUUUUUUUUAAUUUGCAUUCAGUAACCACAACUUCCUCGUAAAAUUAUAUUCUCUUAUCAGUGGAAAGAGGGUCUUUUUAUCUGCUGAGCAUCUUGAGUAAGAUUUGGGGGUGAACUAAAAGUGGAACCGCUGUGAAUUGUAAAGGGAAAUGAAUUUAAAUUCAUUUAAAUUUGCAAUAAUCCACGAAGUGGGAGAGAGGAGUGCAUAAAUUGGGAUGCUGGCCCCUGGAUGGGAAAAAAAUCCAAACAGGAACCCAAGAUGACUGGGUAGCCAAGAUGGAUUUUGAAAGCAAAGAUGGCUAAAUAUGGAUACAGAGAUUUUUGCUCUGCAGUGGGCAUUAUGACCCUUAACAAAGUCUUCAGGAAAGCCACCUAUACUCACAAAUGCUUGGUCUAGGUGAACGUGGUCUUGUAUGAAACAAGCUGCUAGUUUAGACCACGACUCCAGUCACACGGGUCUUUCCUGGAAGGCAGCCAUUGUGCCUCCACAUGCCGCCCAAGUGCUUUGUGUGCCUUGCAUUGCAUCCCUCAGAACGGUGAAAUGACUUGCUCUCAAGCUCUGGGAUUUGGGAAAGUCGAUAGUAUCUACUCCUUUAUGGACACUGUCCUGUGCGCACACGGAGGUAAAGAACAGGUGUCACCCCCACUCAAGGUUAGAGGGUUACACGGCGUGUGGAAACCUUGCGCCAGUUGAGAAUUCUGCCUUCCACAGACGCCAGUGCUUUUGCAUGAUCAGUGAAAAUGUGUUAGCCUGUGAAAAU